UGGCUUAUGUAUUUUUACAAUAUUAUGCAAUCCCUGUGCCUGCAUAAGGAAAAUCUGUCCAGGCGGUUUACCACCGGAUGGGUCAAAAUACCCAACACAACUUGGUAAGCAACUACGGUUGCAGCAAUAAUAAAUCAUACCUGUGAUAUAAAACAUUGUUGUUGGUUUACCAAUUGUGAUUUGAAGAAAAGGUGAAAACCCAACUUCCACCAUGCCAUGUUGGCAUAUAUGAUAUAAAACCGGGUUGUGAUGAACACCGGCCGAUUGCUGGAGACAAAGUGUCAAAGCCAGACCGGUUUUGAGGGAUGCCGGAUUACCU
rnacentral:lncRNA from 1 species